rnacentral:ncRNA from 1 species
UAUCUGGUUGAUCCUGCCAGUAGUCAUAUGCUUGUCUCAAAGAUUAAGCCAUGCAUGUCUAAGUAUAAGCACUUGUACUGUGAAACUGCGAAUGGCUCAUUAAAUCAGUUAUCGUUUAUUUGAUUGUACCUUUACUACUUGGAUAACCGUGGUAAUUCUAGAGCUAAUACAUGCGAAAAGUCCCGACUUCUCGAAGGGAUGUAUUUAUUAGAUUCAAAACCAAUGCGGGUUCUGCCCGGUCAUUUGGUGAUUCAUAGUAACUGUUCGAAUCGCAGGGCCUCGCGCCGGCGAUGUUUCAUUCAAAUUUCUGCCCUAUCAACUGUCGAUGGUAAGGUGUUGGCUUACCAUGGUUACAACGGGUGACGGAGAAUUAGGGUUCGAUUCCGGAGAGGGAGCCUGAGAAACGGCUACCACAUCCAAGGAAGGCAGCAGGCGCGCAAAUUACCCAAUCCUGACUCAGGGAGGUAGUGACAAGAAAUAACAAUACAGGGCUUUUCUAAGUCUUGUAAUUGGAAUGAGUACAACUUAAAUCCUUUAACGAGGAUCCAUU